rnacentral:snRNA from 1 species
GUACUCGCUUCGACGGUACAUAAACUAGAAUUGGAACGAUACACAGAAGAUUGGCAUGGCCCCUAAGCGAGGAUGACACGCAAAAUCUUGAAGCCUUCCAUACUUUU